rnacentral:ncRNA from 1 species
UCUCCCGCUUCACCUCCCUGAGCGGGUGCCUCACGCCUGGUGAGGCAUUUUCGCCCCCGACUACGUCCCCUGGUCGGGGGCUUUUGUUU